rnacentral:rRNA from 1 species
GAUGAACGCUGGCGGCGUGCCUAACACAUGCAAGUCGAACGGAAGGGCCCUGAGCUUGUGCGGUUCUCGAUUGCGGAAGGCGGGAGUAACACGUGUGUAUCCUGCCCUUCUCUUUCGGGGAACUUCACGAAACUGGGGCUAAUAUCGGAUAGGAUAUCCUGCACCGUGGUGGGCGUUGGAAAGUUUCGGCGUUGGUGGCUGGACUAGCGGCUUACGAGCUGGUUGGUGGGGUAGUUGCUUACCAAGGCUUUGAAGGGUAGGCGGCCUGGGAGCGUGACCGGCCACCUUGGGCCUAAGGUAGGGCCCAGACUCGUACGUGAGGCAACAGUGGGGAAUAUUGCACAGUGGGCCGGAGCCUGAUGCGGAGGCGUCGCGUGCGGAAUGACGGCCUUCGGGUUGUAAACAGCUUUCGCCUAAGACGAAGCGUUAGUGACGGUAAUGGGUAAAGAAGCGCCGGCUAACUACGUG